CCUAAGGCGAGGCCGAAAGGCGUAGUCGAUGGGAAACGGGUUAAUAUUCCCGUACUUCUUACAAUUGCGAUGGGGGGACGGAGAAGGCUAGGUGGGCCUGGCGACGGUUGUCCAGGUUCAAGUGCGUAGGCUUGAGAGUUAGGUAAAUCCGGCUCUCUUUAAGGCUGAGACACGACGUCGAGCACCUACGGGUGUGAAGUCAUUGAUGCCAUGCUUCCAGGAAAAGCCUCUAAGCUUCAGAUUGUAAGGAAUCGUACCCCAAACCGACACAGGUGGUCGGGUAGAGAAUACCAAGGCGCUUGAGAGAACUCGGGUGAAGGAACUAGGCAAAAUGGUACCGUAACUUCGGGAGAAGGUACGCUCUCGACGGAGAACUCGGGUGAAGGAACUAGGCAAAAUGGUACCGUAACUUCGGGAGAAGGUACGCUCUCGACGGUGAAGUCCCUUGCGGAUGGAGCUAUUGAGAGUCGCAGAUACCAGGUGGCUGCAACUGUUUAUUAAAAACACAGCACUGUGCAAAAUCGUAAGAUGACGUAUACGGUGUGACGCCUGCCCGGUGCCGGAAGGUUAAUUGAUGGGGUUAGACUUCGGUCGAAGCUCUUGAUCGAAGCCCCGGUAAACGGCGGCCGUAACUAUAACGGUCCUAAGGUAGCGAAAUUCCUUGUCGGGUAAGUUCCGACCUGCACGAAUGGCGUAAUGAUGGCCACGCUGUCUCCACCCGAGACUCAGUGAAAUUGAAAUCGCUGUGAAGAUGCAGUGUACCCGCGGCUAGACGGAAAGACCCCGUGAACCUUUACUACAGCUUGGCACUGAACAUUGACCCUACAUGUGUAGGAUAGGUGGGAGGCUUUGAAGCACGUACGCCAGUAUGUGUGGAGCCGUCCUUGAAAUACCACCCUUGUAGUGUUGAUGUUCUAACGUCGACCCCUAAUCGGGGUUGCGGACAGUGCCUGGUGGGUAGUUUGACUGGGGCGGUCUCCUCCCAAAGAGUAACGGAGGAGCACGAAGGUGGGCUAAUCACGGUUGGACAUCGUGAGGUUAGUGCAAUGGCAUAAGCCCGCUUGACUGCGAGAAUGACAAUUCGAGCAGGUGCGAAAGCAGGUCAUAGUGAUCCGGUGGUUCUGAAUGGAAGGGCCAUCGCUCAACGGAUAAAAGGUACUCCGGGGAUAACAGGCUGAUACCGCCCAAGAGUUCAUAUCGACGGCGGUGUUUGGCACCUCGAUGUCGGCUCAUCACAUCCUGGGGCUGAAGUCGGUCCCAAGGGUAUGGCUGUUCGCCAUUUAAAGUGGUACGCGAGCUGGGUUUAGAACGUCGUGAGACAGUUCGGUCCCUAUCUGCCGUGGGCGUUGGAAGAUUGAAGGGGGCUGCUCCUAGUACGAGAGGACCGGAGUGGACGAACCUCUGGUGUUCGGGUUGUGUCGCCAGACGCAUUGCCCGGUAGCUAAGUUCGGAAUCGAUAACCGCUGAAAGCAUCUAAGCGGGAAGCGAGCCCUGAGAUGAGUCUUCCCUGAUACUUUAAGUAUCCUAAAGGGUUGUCGGAGACUACGACGUUGAUAGGUCAGGUGUGUAAGUGCUGUGAGGCAUUGAGCUAACUGAUACUAAUUGCCCGUGAGGCUUAACCAUACAACACCCAAGGGGUUU
rnacentral:rRNA from 1 species